rnacentral:rRNA from 1 species
UACGUAGGGGGCUAGCGUUGUCCGGAAUCAUUGGGCGUAAAGAGCGUGUAGGCGGUCCGGUAAGUCCGCUGUGAAAGUCGGGGGCUCAACCCUCGAAUGCCGGUGGAUACUGUCGGGCUAGAGUGCGGAAGAGGCGAGUGGAAUUCCUGGUGUAGCGGUGAAAUGCGCAGAUAUCAGGAGGAACACCUAUUGCGAACGCAGCUCGCUGGGACGUAACUGACGCUGAGACGCGAAAGCGUGGGGAGCAAACAGG